UUCGGGCCCAGCCACCCAGCCAGUUUUUAACUCAGUGAAGAGCACACUCAUCCAAGCCAUGAGCAGCCAGUUUCUCCAGGAGAAUAAGACUGCUUGAAA